GUCUACGGCCAUGCUACCCUGAACAAGCCUGAUCCUGUCUGAUCUCAGACGCUAAGCAGGGUCGGGCUGGGUUAGUACUUGAAUGGGAGACCACCUAGGAAGACCAGGUGGUGUAGGCA
rnacentral:rRNA from 1 species